CAGGUUGUAGAUGGAGCACAUGUUGUCCAGACCGCCGCAGGCCACCAUGUUACCUGACGGGGCGUACGCACAGGUCAUCACCCAGGACGACUUCAGGGGGAUGGCGUUCACCUGCAGACACACAGCACAGAUGCUGAAGACUGCAGCUGCACAAACACACAAGCAGGAAGAAGCAGCGCCAUGUGACUCACCUGUCCAGGUGUCUGCUCAGAUCCUACGUUCAUCCACCGCUGCAGGACGAAGCUCCGUCAGCGUCGGCGUCCAGCGCUGCUCUGAGGAACAGAUGAGGAUUGGAGGGAUGAACAGAUGAGCGGCGAUGAGGAUAAACCCUGGAUGGACAGAAACAGGGCUGGAGGGGGAGAGUUGGAGGAAACCAAACAAGGUGCAGAUCAGCGCUGACGGGUCACAAGACCAGAUCUGAGGUUCUGUUCCGGUUGGACGUUCUCAGGAGAAGGAUCAGAUCCGUUCUGGAAUAAAACCUUCAACCUGCUGCUGAGUCGACCACCAGCUACUGAUCAGGUUCUUUAUUAGGAACAUCUGAAAUCCAAAACGAUAUAAAAUUAACUUUUAUCGGGUUUAAUUACUCCUCCAAAUACUUCAUUUUGAUGAUGAGUUUUUAUUUGACUGACAGGUUUCUUCUGGCUGUAAAUGACAAAAACAAACUCAGCCAGAUGUUGUGUUUUAGAUGUUGAUGUUUUCAUCCAAACUGGUUCCUCCUGUUCCUCAGGUAUCAGAGUCUUUAUGUCCUCCAUCAGUCCACCAGUAGUUCUAGUGUCUAACAGUGUUCCUGCAGGUCUCCACUGGGAUUUAGUUCCUCCAAGUGUCCAUCUCCAGCUCUUUGAAGGCUUCCUCUCCAUCACUCUGCUCUUCAGUUCCUCCACACAUUCUGGAUGGAUUCAGGUCUGGAUCUUCUCAUUGUUUUCUCUUCAUCACUUUGGCUCCAUGUUCCUCAUCAUCGUCUUGUUGGAAGCUCCAAUGCAAUGAAGACACUUGGAUCUGACUUUAAAGCUACAAAUAAUUUUUGAACUGUACUUUUUAAUCAGAUAAUUCUCUCAUGUUAUUAUAGUUAAUUUUAUUGUUGAAGUCCUAGCAGGUGGUGGACUGAACUGCAAUAUACUGGAAGAACUACCACUACUACUACUACUACCUCUAUUAAAUAUUCUAUGUUAAUGGGUUGGGUUGAAAAAAAAGAAUUGUUGGGUAAAUAUUUCACUUUAAAUGCUUUCCAUUUUGUAAUUAACACUAAAAUUAGUAUCAGUGGUUUUGUAACAUUCCAGUAACUCCUGAAACAGUGAGACAGAAUUAAACUGAGAAACAACAGGUUUAAAUCCUCACUAAUUCUAAAAGUGUAGCUUUGGCCUCCUGCUGGAUGAGAAGUAAAGAAAGUUUCCAACAUGGAUCAAGUCUCUGAAUAUUAGUUUCCAGAGAAGACUUGAGGAGAAAGAUUGAGAUAAUUAAACGGCAUCGUUCUACUAAUAGAACGUCACAUUUACAUGUCAUCUGUGUUUGGAGCAGCAGAGAUCUGGAGGAUAAAUUCAGCCGUUUUUAAAAGUGUUGACCUUUGUUCAGCGCCGACUCUGGAUUUGGAGCGUAAAACAGAGAGAAAACCAAAAAAGAGAAAAAGGGAUUUGUUAACAGAUGCACGGACACAGGUCAGGAUGAAGGCAGAGCGUUAUUAUGGGAUGUUAUUUAAAGACCAUUUAAAGCCUGCUCUACUGUAACGUCUCCUCUGUGGCAGUUAAAACUCAUAUUGAAGUAGUUUAGAACAUAGCAGGGAGUACAGCUCUGUGCAGUAUCAGUCCAAUGUCAAAUUAUUCUAAACCGCAUCACCUCACAGUACUCAGAUUACUUCUAGCAGAAGAGUAUUUAUGUCAGAUUACAAAGUACAGUUCAGAUUUAUUAUAUUAAAUUCAGGCUCCACAGCAGGAACUCUAAAAGUCCUUUGGUUCCUGAGGUUCUUUGGUUCCUUCAGUCCUUCGUAUGUCUUCCUUUAUUUCUGAUGACAGACUCAACCCUCCUCAGCAUGGAGGAAACCAGAGUCCACUCAUUUCUGCUCACAUCUUCUCACAUUCUUCUCUGUUUUAUUGAGCUGCUCUUUGCUGGAGGGGUUGUGUUGCUCUACCUUUCUCUGGAAAACACCACAAAGGUUCUGUUGGGUUCAGGACUCACACUGUCCAGGUCCUGGUUCCACUUUGUUCCACUGGAGAAGCUCUUGCGUGAUUUAGUUCUUUGGAUGUUCUCCUGCUGGAAUAUUCCUCUUCUUCCAUCUCUUCUGGUCAGCCAGUAUUCUGGUUCAUCCUCAGACCUUCAUGCUGCAUCUAGAAAUGUCUUCAACACCUUCUGACCUCAUUCAGCCCCACAUCAUCAUACUUCCACCUCCGUGCUUCACUGUCAGGACUAUGCAUCCACUGUGGUAGUCCUGGUCAGGUUCACACCAAACAUCUGGACUCCAUCUGAACUCAUUUAUCUUCAUCUGACCAAAGAAUGUUCUCCAACAUCCACCAGGCUUCUUCUCAUGUUCUUCAGCAAACUUUCAUCUGGAAGUUUAGUUCUGAGCAGCAACCAGGUUUAGUUCUUGUCCUCCGUCCAUAGAGGUUGAUGUUCUGAAGGUUCCUUCACACUGUCUGAGCUUCACACUAACUCUGGUUUCCAUGGAGAACUCCUGAACCAAGUCUGAAGCAGCUGCUGUCUGUUUUUACAGCUGGAUUGUGGAAGUAGUUCACUGUCUGUGGAGUCAUUUUAGGAGCUCUGAUUAGUGGUACUAUGACUCCUUCUAGACCUCCUGAUUACUGCUGACUCUGUGCUUCACUGGUUUUUAGUUGUUCACUGAUCUUCCUGGAUCUUUUUCAAUCUUUGUGAGGUCUCAUAGUCAGAUAAAUAAAGUCAAAAUAUAGAAAUACAGUAAAUGAAGACAGAAAAACGUCUCCAUCAUCUUGAUCUUUGUACGUCAGAGACAAGUUCAGCUGAUUUUUGAUUCUCUGAGCUGGUUCUGAAUGGAUGCAUCACGCUGGGAUUCUGACUGGAUUAAACGUGUCACAAACAGCGUUGACACAACUCUGACAUAAAGACACAACUAGGAUGAGUUUUACCCCAGUGGACUCACCAACACGAUGUAAAGCAUCACAAAACCGGCAGCUGAAAGCCUUUGUGUCCACAAAUAGACAGUUAAUGGAGGAAGCCACAUGAGGAUGAUCUGCGGCUACUCACUUCUAAUGACAACAGGAUGCUCUGCCUCCACGUCACUUCUUACAUAACUUCUGCUAAUCAUAUAAAAUAUAGAAACACGGCGUCACUCGGCCGCAAACUUUGCGUCUUUGUGGCCGGCUGUAAUUAGAGCAGUUGUGCUGCUUAAUGUGAGGAUAUCUGAGGUGCAUUAUGGAGACGUAACACCUGCUUAAGAGCAGAUUAACGCAGACUUUUAGGGUUCUGCAUGAGUCCAUGUGUGAGGGAGGGAAAAGGUUAAAACCAGGCUCCAUUAAACGGUGACCCAGUUCUGCGGCGGAUUAUAACACAGAGCACUGAGAGUGUUAAUAUGGGGCCAUAAACAGCACUUGACUCUAAAGACAAAGAGGAGGACGAGGAUAAGACGGAGUGUCGCUGCUGCAUGUGAAUGAUUAAAUCAUCUCUGCCUGGAUUACUAUUCCAUAUUCUAAAUGGGAGAUUUUUUAAGCUUCAUAAACAAAUGCACUCAUUUACGAGGGAUUAACCGUAAUCUCUCUAUUUCUAUCCUUUUUUUCCAUCCUGCACCUCUCUGCUGCCUCCACCUCCAGCUGGACCUCAUGAUGCUGCCGCUGUUCCUGUCUAAUCCCACAUCUUAUCACAUACACGAGCAACAAUUAACCACUUUAUAUUUUAAUCAGCUGCUUUCACUGCACUUUUUGUUUUCUUCUCUCCACACAACUUCAAUCACACUGAACUCACAUUAUACAGCUGCAACGAUUGAUCGAUUAGCUGUCAAGUGUUAAAUUAAUCAUUAAUUAUUUAGAUCAGGGGUGUCAAACAUGGACGACUUUGUAAAUUGUAAAAAUAACAGAGAAGAGAUUAACUGCAAUUUUUUGAUAAAAGUACCGGUAACUGCUAUUUUAAAUUUUUCCACAACUUUGAUGUAUUUUUAUGUGUAAAUUUAGUAUAUUUACAAAGCAGGGGGACAUCUUCUUUCUUUAUAGUUCCCACUUUAGUUUGUAUGGUGUUGUGUCAGGAUUACUACACAGAUGUGGAAAAGAAUGUAAAUUUAAGAUCAUUGGAUUUUUUGUUUUGUAAUAUUUUGUCUUGUUUUUUUGUCUGACUUUUGUCUCAUGUUUUUGUUGUUUUGUGUCUCCUUUUUGUCUCGCUUAUGUUUUUCGUCUUAUUGUUGUCAUUUUGUAUUUUGCUUUAUCCGUUGUUUUGUGUUAUCAUUUUUGUCGUUUUUUUGUUUUUUUGUCUCGCUUGUGUUGUUAGUCUAUUUUUUAUCGUUUUUUUAUUGUUUUUAUCAUUUUUUGUCUAAUUGUUGUUGCUGUCUAACUUUUUUUGUCCAAUUUUUUGUCAUUUUGUUUCUCACUUUUGUUGUUUUGUGUCUUGUCUGGUUCCUGAAUGUGGUCCCUGAACUAAAAUGAGUUUGACAUCCCUGAUUUAGAUAAUCAAGUAUUUUUCAAUCUUCUUCAAUGUGAAUAUUUUCUGGUUUCUUUCCUCCUCUGUGGCAGAAAGCUGAAGAUCUGUGAACAAAAAGACAUUUGAGGAAACUCUGAUUCACAUUUUUCAACAUUUUAUAGAUCAAACAUGUGAUUGAUUAAUUCAGAAAAUAAUCCACAGUAGAAAUAAUCGUUGUUUGCAGCCCUUUCUGUCAGUAAAGCUCCAGAAACCAAAGUACAGACUUUAAAGGACAGCGUCUCCCUGACUUACCUUCAUCAUAUACAGAAUAACCGCAGUAUUUACACAGAUACCAGCUUUACAUUGAAGGCAGCAGCUGAACAGAUGAUGUCAGUGUCUGUAAAUGCUCCGUGGUUUCAGUCUGUCUGCUUCUAGGAGGCCUUCAGAGUUCGUCUCUGCCUCCCGUCACUCUUCCUCUCCCUCGACUUUUCUCCGGAGUCGCUUGACUGCGAGCGUUUCGUCCUUUGGUUCCGCCCUCCUCGUCCUCGUCCUUCUUCACCACAGUUUGUCCGUCGGCGGCCCACAGGGCUUCGGCCUCUUCUCGCUCCUGAAACACAGAAUAAGACCAGUCAGUCCUGAUGGAAGUACAAGAAGUACAAGGGCUCCAAGUACCACAAAGUUUCCAGCAUCCAAGCACCCACUAAACUGCUGCUGAACUGACUUCUUUCAGUUCCUGCAGACUGUUCAAAGUCUGACGUGUUCAUUAAAUCGGGAGAAAGUUUAAUCCUAAAGGUCUGACUUCCUGUUUCUUAAAAUUUCAACCACGUUUGCAAAGUCAGUUUUCCUAAAGAAUGGGUAGAGCAAAGCUAUGUCGUCUUUUUUAUUUUUACUCCGCCAAGGAACGGCAGAGUUAUGUGAUGAUUGGCGUACGUUUGUCUGUAAAUCUGUCUGUCUGUCUGUGUGAAACAUUACUCAAAAAUGGACUAACGGAUUUUGAUGAAAUUUUCAGAGGAACUCAGAAAUGACACAAGGACCACUUCAUUAAAUUUUCACAGUGAUGCGGCUUAUAGUCUGGAUCCAUGGCUUUGUUAAGGAUUUCCCAUUGCCAGAUAGAGCUGCCUGUGUCAGUUACCUGCUGAUGAUCACGAGUUCAAUCCUACUACAAAAUGACUAUGAUUUAUCAGCUGGAAAUCAUACAAGGAACAAAUGAUUAAACUGUGGGCUGUUUCUGAGUCCCAUCAUUUCCUGCUGCCCGCUACAUAUUUAGGUCAUGUGAUGUAGCAAACCCCAGCCAGACCAUGGUGAAGCUCCUGAUGUUUCACAAAGCCUUUAUUUACGUUCAGCCGUCAGCCUUAUUUUGAACACAAAUUCACCUUUCUGUCCUUCACUCUUUUCUUCAGGAAACACCAUCAGAGCUUGUCUCCAUUCCAGCUGCUUCUAAGUUUAGACACAUCCUUUGCUAGACAGCAACAACAUGGAACCGUUUUCUUUCAUCUUUAUGUGAAUUUUCGGACAUUUCUGCAGCGUCUUCAUCGACAACUUAGAAAAAAAGUUAUAGUUUAAUAUGUCGUUCAACACGAGGAAAAAAGGUGCCCAGGUAGCUCAACUGGUUGAGAGGGCGACUCAUAAAGAGGACUGCCUCAGAGAUGCAAGUUCGAUUCCAGCUCAUGGUCCUUUACUGCAAGUCUACCCUGUCUUCCUCUCUACUUACCUAUUGAAUAAAACCAACAAAAGGGCCUGAAAAACAUCAUAGUUUAGUAUGUCGUCCUAAAUGUGGAAAAAAGGUCAUAGUUUAGUAUGUUGUCCAAAAUGUCAUUAAAAUGUCAUAGUUUAGUAUGUUGUCCAAAAUGUAGAAAAAACGUCAUAGUUUAGUAUGUUGUCCAAAAUGUCAUUAAAAUGUCAUAGUUUAGUAUGUUGUCCAAAAUGUCAUUAAAAUGUCAUAGUUUAGUAUGUUGUCCAAAAUGUCAUUAAAAUGUCAUAGUUUAGUAUGUUGUCCAAAAUGUAGAAAAAACGUCAUAGUUUAGUAUGUUGUCCAAAAUGUCAUUAAAAUGUCAUAGUUUAGUAUGUUGUCCAAAAUGUCAUUAAAAUGUCAUAGUUUAGUAUGUCAUCUGUAGCAUUCACUCUGGAAUAGUUCAUUGUUGGCCAUCGGGAAUCCCAACAUGAACAGACACCUGCCAGUCACAAUCAGUCACAGUCACUCUCAACACCUGAGCCAAUCACAGGCAGUCUCUCUCCCACCUGGAAUCCACCCCUGUUCCUUUGUUUGAAGCCCAUCAGCUUCAUUCAGUCACACACAGUCACUUGAACAACAGGAUCACUACUCAUCUCUGGAAACCAUUCACUUUUCACAAGCCUGGAAACCUGGAAAUCACAGCAUCAAAGAGGACGUGAGUUCAAACUCCUGUUAAGUGUGUUGGAAGCUGGUUGAUUUCAUGCCAUCGCUCAUUAUAAUACUCAUGCUAAUGCUAACAGGCCUUCAACUGCUUUUGGAUUUCUGGAUGCCACCCACCUGAACCAACAUUGUGCUGAAUAUUGGUGAGCAACUAAUGGAAAAUGUGAUGAAUGGCUGAUGAUGAUAAUGAUGAUAAUGAUGAUAAUUAUGAAGCCUGUCUGCUGAACAGGUUUGAACUGAUGGUGAGCUACCCUGGACCAAACUGGAAAACCGUCUGACAGGUUUCACCCCUUCACCCACCUCACUCAUUAGCAGGUCUUAAGCCCCACAGCUUCAUCCCUUCCAGAAUGGUGUGGUAGGACUUGUUGGAAAUUUUGGAAUUGUCUGGAAUUGUUUUAUGAAUCAGCUUACCUUUCACUUGAACCAUGAACUGUCAGUGGAUUAUUGAUAUCGAACAAAGCACAUAGUCACUUUAUAUUGUUGAAAGUGAAGCUGCUUAUUCUGAUUUGGACUGACUGAAGGACAGGUGAAGGUUUGAUUUUCUGAUUCAGAUUUUCUGUUAUUGUUUUGUAUUUUUGUAUUAUUAUUUUGAUCAUUGUUUUGCCUUGAUACAUUCAAGUAUUUUCUGUUGAUUAUUUUUAAUACAGAACAAAAGUGGGAGUUUUCAUGGAAAACAUGGAAUUGUCUGGGUGACCCCAAACUUUUGAACGUGAAUGUAGGUCAACUUUAACUAAUAUGAGCAACUAUAAUUAAUUUUAGAGCAACUUUAACUUAUGUAGAGCAGCUUUAAUUCAUGUACACUACCGUUCAAAUGUUUGGGGUCGCUUAAAAAUGCCCUUAUUUUUGAAAGAAAGCUAAUUCCUAUUCCUAUUAAAUGCUGUCUGUGUUG